CCCUUAACUAUUAAACGUUUCGUUUUGGUCCUUUAACUUACUUUUUGGUUUCAUUUUGGUCCCUUAACUCUUCCUCCGUCAACCACUUUGGUCCUUUAUGUUAGGAUGAAUGUAUUAGAGUUAAGGGACCAAAAAAUAAGUUAAGGGACCAAAACGAAACUUUUAAUAGUUAAGGAACCAAAACGAAACCAAAAAAUAAGUUAAGGGACCAAAAGAGUAAUUAAGCCA
rnacentral:pre_miRNA from 1 species